CUUAAAUCCGUGUAGACUUUCUCAUGAAUGCAGGUAGUGUCCACAGCACACGGACUUGUUCCUGUCAGCGAUGCACAAACCGCCGCUCUGUUCCGAAACACUCGUCUGUUGCUCAAGUACAUCAAGUUUAAACGACAAGCUCGCUCUGAAAUGACCCAAGACACAGUGACUGAGGAGAAACUGAGAGAUGACCUCAUGUACUACUUCAUGAGUCCCUGUGAGAAGUACAGAGCCCGGCGUCAUUUACCUUGGAAGAUGGGGGUUCAGAUCUUGAAGAUUAUCAUGAUCACCACACAGCUGGUUCUUUUCGGCCUCAACAACCAGCUGGUGGUGGCCUAUAAGGAGGAGAACAGCAUGGCGUUCAAAAACCUGUUCCUUAAGGACUACAGUGGUGUGGACGAGGACGACUACAGUGUUGCUGUUUACUCCCAACAAGGCGUCUACGACAGCGUGUUCUAUGUUCUAGAUCAGUACAACCAGUUCAGCCGGCUCUCCACAGGACCUAUCACAUACGCCGAGGAUGAGGACGGCAAUCUGCUUCCACUGGCCAUUUGUAAAGAGUACUACAAGAAAGGGAGUGUGAAUCCCACGGGGGAGGCCUUUGACAUUGACGCUCAACUGGAGAAAGUUUGUAUGUCACAUUAUCCACACAACCCUUUACUGCACAAUUCAUCGUUUUUUGAUUUGGACUUUUACAGACUUGUCAACAUCAAAAUAACUUUUGAGCUCAAAGGAAUCAAUCUGCAGACCGUUCGAACACGAGAGUUGCCCGACUGCUACUCUUUCCAUGUCACGAUAACAUUUGAUAACCAGGGUCACAGUGGAAUAGUAAAAAUAUUUUUGGACAUUGCUGCUCAGAGCUCUGCCUGUCGAGACUGGAAAAUAUCUGGAACAGUUCAGAAAAACACACAUUAUCUUCUGAUAUUCGACGGCUUCGUCAUUCUGGUGUGUCUCACCUCAGCCGUGCUCUGCACCCGCUCCAUUGUUCUGGCCGUGAGGUUACUGCAGAGAUUCACUCGCUUCCUUCGUGAGACCUCCGACCGCAGCGUGUGUGAGGAAGACCAGGGCGAGUUUCUGAACGGCUGGUAUGUGCUGGUCAUCGUCAGCGACCUCUUGGCCAUAAUUGGAUCCAUACUAAAGAUGGAAAUACAAGCCAAGAAUCUAACAACUUAUGACGUGUGCAGUAUCUUCCUGGGAACAGCUACAUUAUUGGUGUGGGUCGGCGUGAUCAGAUACCUGGGAUAUUUCCAGAAAUACAACUUGCUGAUCCUAACGAUGAAAGCCGCCUUCCCGAAGGUGCUGCGUUUCUGCUGCUGUGCCGGCAUGAUCUACCUCGGCUACACCUUCUGUGGGUGGAUCGUACUAGGGCCCUACCACGAAAAGUUCGAGGGUCUGAGUCUGGUGGCAGAAUGUUUGUUCUCUCUGCUGAACGGUGACGACAUGUUCACCACCUUCGCUCAGCUGAAGGACAAAAACACGCUGGUGUGGCUCUUCAGCCGGGCCUACCUCUACUCCUUCAUCUCCCUCUUCAUCUACAUGGUGCUGUCGCUCUUCAUCGCCCUCAUCACGGAUUCCUACGAGACCAUCAAGAACUACCAGAAGAAUGGGUUCCCACUGACGGACCUGCAGCAGUUUCUGAGGGAACCAAAGAGGUUUCCUGUUGUGGACGACGACACUCGCACAGAUGUUCAGGUCACCAGCUCCACGCUCUGCUGUUCGUGCUUCUACUGCCAACGAGUUCCUGAAAAUGAUGACAUCAUGCUGAUCAGCUGAGAAGCUUCACGCCUCCGAGUUGGAUGAAAAGGAUGCUGGGAGUCCUGACUGAUACAGACCAUAAAUGACGUGGUUGUUAAACCUUAUGAAAUACCAGAGGAGUUCCUUCUGCCUGAGGGGCUCAUGCUAUUGAGCUCUGCUACCAGAGGGGGUGCUGUGUAUUAGUUCAACAUUUCUAUUGGAGGUUUCUUUGGCUUUUUUUUUUUUUUUUUUUUGCAUUGGUUUCCUAUUUGCUGCAGUCUUUGUCAUUCAUUUUUCAGGGUCUGGUGUGUGAGUUGAACUUAAGCCAAAGUGUGCUGGUAAAGUAUUGGGAAAGAGAGGAAUUUUUAAAUGACUUCACCAGGACCGUACUGUGACUCAGCUUUAUCAUGAUGAUCAUCAUCACGUCUACCAACACAUGAAGACGUUGAAACGUGCUGCAGCAUGACCUCACAGUGUGACUUCUAUGCUUUGAACCAGAUACAAAUCAAGGAAACGUGUUGUGCAUAAACCUCAAAAGAAUCCAGCAUGAAGUUCUUCUAUAAAAAGAGUUCCAACACCGUCCACUAGGCUGCCUCUGGGCUAUGUAACAUCUGCCAAAAGAUCGCUCAUCCAAUUUCAGCAGAAGUGUUAAAACACCUGAUAAGAUCAGUACCCGUGUGGUGACACGACCCUCGUGUUGGUUAUAUUUCAGGUUCUGACAGGUGUUCCUUUUAGGAGUGGAGAAAACCAAAAUCAAUCACCUUUGGGUUGACCUUUAUCAGGGGUCACCACAGGUGAAGUCCACGACAGCCGGACUGAGAUGGAAAUGAUGGUGAUGUUUAGAAAUAAACAGAACUGGGAGAAGAAGAUUUAAAGUCUCAGGGUGUUUUGGUAGAUUUUUGUUUGAAUACAUUUCUAUUAAAAAUGAUGGAUUAUUGUUUGAUAAGAUACUCACUUGUAUAUUUAUAUAUU